AUUAAAUUAAGAGCAAAAUUACACUAUUACAACAAUUCAAAACACCUAUUCACAUAAAACUGAGCAAAAUAUAUUUCAAUCUAGCACUAUAUCCUGUACAAUUCAUUGGUAUGAGGUAGUUUAUGAAAAAUAAGGCGCCAAGGUAUAAACUACUCAAACUUGCUAAACUUGUCUUACUUGUUGAUCAUUACCCUCGUUUACAUGAUUAGUGGAAUAUGAUUGUCAUCUUCAUACAAAAAGUAAAGACUUGUCAAAUCCUGUAGAAACUUAUUCUGUCUAGAUUCUAGUAUUUUUGUCAAAUUUAACAUCAGUUAUGCAACAGACUUUCAAGAAUUUAGAUAUAAUUUAAUACUUUAAAUGGUGUUGAAUAGUGAAAACAUGAAUGUUCUAUUAAUAUUUAUUUUCCUUUGUUUUAAUUUUCAAAGAUUCAAUAAAAGCUAUUGUUAAUUCUAUUAGUUAUCUGUAUUGUAUUCAUGUCCUCUCAAUCUUAACACAAUCAACAACAAUUGACAUAUAAGUGGUCAAAUCUUUUUUCCUCCAAUCAGAUUCUUUCAAUCUAUUCACUCCUUUAUCACAAUGUAUUAUCACAAACGAAUCUGCAUCAGUUUCAUGUAAUUUUACAUGUUUGACAUAAUCACAUGAAGGUUUACAACAAAAAAAAAAUAAUAUGGCAAAAAAUUUUAUUACUUCAAGGUUACAUAAAAUGUAAGUAUUUCAAUUAUUUCAAUAUCAAUUCACUUAGUUCUUUAUAAAAACUCAUUUUAUACAAUAACCAGAUGCUCGGCAGGGCACAGCUUUACACGAUCGCAGAGGUCAAACCCUGAACAGAUGGAGCAAGUAUGGACACAACAUUUAAGCUUGAUACAGCUCUGAAUUUGGAUUGUGAUUAAAUAGUUGACACAACAUAGGUUUCUGACAAAGAAAGAUAAUUCCAAUUUUCAAAGAAUAUUUCAUAAACACUGUGCAAAUUGAAAAUUUCUUGCUAUUGCGCAAUAUAGUGCAAUUAGAUAUUUUUUGCUAUUGCGGAAAACUGUGCAAUUGAAGAUUUCUUGCUAUUG
rnacentral:lncRNA from 1 species